rnacentral:rRNA from 1 species
GACGAACGCUGGCGGCGUGCCUAAUACAUGCAAGUAGAACGCACAGUUUAUACCGUAGCUUGCUACACCAUAGACUGUGAGUUGCGAACGGGUGAGUAACGCGUAGGUAACCUGCCUGGUAGCGGGGGAUAACUAUUGGAAACGAUAGCUAAUACCGCAUAAUAUUAAUUAUUGCAUGAUAAUUAAUUGAAAGGUGCAAUUGCACCACUACCAGAUGGACCUGCGUUGUAUUAGCUAGUAGGUGAGGUAACGGCUCACCUAGGCGACGAUACAUAGCCGACCUGAGAGGGUGAUCGGCCACACUGGGACGGAGACACGGCCCAGACUCCUACGGGAGGCAGCAGUAGGGAAUCUUCGGCCAUGGACGAAAGUCUGACCGAGCAACGCCGCGUGAGUGAAGAAGGUUUUCGGGUCGUAAAGCUCUGUUGUAAGAGAAGAACGGGUGUGAGAGUGGAAAGUUCACACUGUGACGGUAUCUGACCAGAAAGGGACGGCUAACUACGUG